GGGUAUAUAGCUCAGUGGUAGAUAGAGUGCCUGCUUAGCAUGCAUGAGGUCCUGGGUUCAAUUCCCAGUACCUCCA
rnacentral:tRNA from 1 species